GAAGUCUUCUCCAGACACUAUUGCUAAGUACACACUCAAAAUGCUGAAAAGGAGAGUUCCUCCUGGUGUUCCAGGAAUCAUGUUCCUAUCGGUGGGACAAUCUGAAGUGGAAGCGACACUCAACCUCAACGCCAUGAACCAGAGCCCCAACCCAUGGCAUGUGUCCUUCUCUUAUGCACGUGCACUCCAGAACACCCUGUUCCAGGAAUCAUGGUACAAAUUCCUUUCUCUUCUUUACUGAUUCCAAUAGAUAGGAAAUAUAUGCUGUCACAUAUUCACUAUUUCAAGAGGCAAAUGAUCUUUUCCGAAAGUGAUAUUUUAAUCUUCAAUGUUCUCAUGGGAGCUGCGGUAUCUUUUCUCUUUGAUUCCUUAUUUGUUUCUUUGCUUUUUGUUUCAAACUAAUCUGAGUUGAACCCAUAAGAAAGGUAAGAGAAACUUCAUUCCCAGAUCCCCCUCAUAAUGCCUGGAAAAGUCGGUUGGCAUCUUCAACUUGGGGUCCUCAUCUGGAUAUAGUGUUGCCACCACCAUCAUUGUUAAGAUUUCAAAUAGCUUACCUAUAGAAUAUUUAAUAUUGAUAACUAUUACCAGGAAAGGGAUCCUAAAUUAUGACAUGAUUGAAUUCUCAGCCCUCCGAAAAAAAUAUAGGAGGCAUUAUUCUGCUGCUGCUUAUUGGUUCUUUUUAUUCUGUCUCAUUUUCUUGGUCAACUAUGCUAAAAAUUGGUGUGCUUCUCACCUUUCAGUUCCUCUCGGGGGGACAAUCCGAAGUGGAAGCGACACUCAACCUCAACGCCAUGAACCAGAGCCCCAACACAUGGCAUGUGUCCUUCUCUUAUGCACGUGCACUCCAGAACACCGUGCUUAAGACAUGGCAAGGUCGUCCUGAGAAUGUAGAUGCUGCACAAAAGGCUCUCUUGAUUCGUGCAAAAGCAAACUCCUUGGCUCAGCUUGGAAAAUACUCUGCAGCAGGUGAAAGCGAGGAAGCUAAGAAAGGAAUGUUUGUCAAGGGCUACACCUACUAAGCACCCCGCUUUUGCUGCAACUUUAUGUACUUUCCAGUUUUUUAUUGUUUGCUAGAUUUGAAUAGUUUAGUGGACUAAUUGCUCUUUCUUCUUUUUGAUCUCAAAUUAGUGUACUUGAUUAAUAAGCUGCAAGGGGUGAUUCGUCGAAACACAAUCCUAGAAAUGCUCGGGUUUAUACUUUAUAUAUGAGGGACAUGUAUGUCUACAAGAAUGUUUAGAAUACCUUGUAUUAUCCCUAUAUUGAGAACACUUCAAAAUUAUGCAAUCUUUUUCCCAUUGCUCAUUGAUUUCAAAUCCUAAUUUCCU
rnacentral:lncRNA from 1 species